rnacentral:rRNA from 1 species
UCGAGAAUCUUCCGCAAUGGGCGAAAGCCUGACGGAGCGACACCGCGUGUAGGAUGACGGCCCUCGGGUUGUAAACUACUGUCACGCUAUAGGAACCCCCUGUGUAAUGAGCAGGGCUGACCAAAGCGAGAGGAAGCACCGGCUAACUCCGUGCCAGCAGCCGCGGUAAGACGGAGGGUGCAAACGUUGUUCGGAAUUACUGGGCAUAAAGCGCACGUAGGCGGCCAAGUCAGUUCGGUGUGAAAGCCCCCGGCUCAACCGGGGAACGGCAUCGAAUACUGCUUGGCUUGAGGAUGGUUGGGGUGAGUGGAACUCCUGGUGGAGCGGUGAAAUGCGUAGAUAUCAGGAGGAACACCAGUGGCGAAAGCGGCUCACUGGACCAUAUCUGACGCUGAGGUGCGAAAGCUAGGGUAGCGAACGGG